UACGUAGGGUGCGAGCGUUAAUCGGAAUUACUGGGCGUAAAGCGUGCGCAGGCGGCGCGUUAAGACAGGUGUGAAAGCCCCGAGCUUAACUUGGGAAUUGCGCUUGUGACUGGCGUGCUGGAGUGUGGCAGAGGGAGGUGGAAUUCCACGUGUAGCAGUGAAAUGCGUAGAGAUGUGGAGGAACACCGAUGGCGAAGGCAGCCCCCUGGGCCGACACUGACGCUCAGGCACGAAAGCGUGGGGAGCAAACAGG
rnacentral:rRNA from 1 species